rnacentral:rRNA from 1 species
AUUGAACGCUGGCGGCAGGCUUAACACAUGCAAGUCGAGCGGGGGAAGGUAGCUUGCUACCGGACCUAGCGGCGGACGGGUGAGUAAUGCUUAGGAAUCUGCCUAUUAGUGGGGGACAACAUCUCGAAAGGGAUGCUAAUACCGCAUACGUCCUACGGGAGAAAGCAGGGGAUCUUCGGACCUUGCGCUAAUAGAUGAGCCUAAGUCGGAUUAGCUAGUUGGGGGGGUAAAGGCCCACCAAGGCGACGAUCUGUAGCGGGUCUGAGAGGACGAUCCGCCACACUGGGACUGAGACACGGCCCAGACUCCUACGGGAGGCAGCAGUGGGGAAUAUUGGACAAUGGGGGGAACCCUGAUCCAGCCAUGCCGCGUGUGCGAAGAAGGCCUUAUGGUUGUAAAGCACUUUAAGCGAGGAGGAGGCUACUUUAGUUAAUACCUAGAGAUAGUGGGCGUUACUCGCAGAAUAAGCACCGGCUACCUCUGUGCCAGCAGCCGCCGUAA